UGGGGAAUAUUGGACAAUGGGCGAAAGCCUGAUCCAGCCAUGCCGCGUGUGUGAAGAAGGUCUUCGGAUUGUAAAGCACUUUAAGUUGGGAGGAAGGGCAGUUACCUAAUACGUGAUUGUUUUGACGUUACCGACAGAAUAAGCACCGGCUAACUCUGUGCCAGCAGCCGCGGUAAUACAGAGGGUGCAAGCGUUAAUCGGAAUUACUGGGCGUAAAGCGCGCGUAGGUGGUUAGUUAAGUUGGAUGUGAAAUCCCCGGGCUCAACCUGGGAACUGCAUUCAAAACUGACUGACUAGAGUAUGGUAGAGGGUGGUGGAAUUUCCUGUGUAGGGGCGUGAAAUGCGUAGAUAUAGGAAGGAACACCAGUGGCGAAGGCGACCACCUGGACUGAUACUGACACUGAGGUGCGAAAGCGUGGGGAGCAAACAGGAUUAGAUACCCAUGUAGUCCCUGAGCGGGCUGGCAAGGCGCAU
rnacentral:rRNA from 1 species